GGGAGGGGAACCGGGGAGAGGGAAGGAACCGGGGACUCGUGGGGGAAAGAACCGAAGCCCCCCGAGGGGAGGAACCGGAGCCCCCCGGCAGGGAAGGACCGAGGAGUGACCCCUCCUCGUGGGAGGAGGAACCGGUGCCAGCCCCUCCUCCCGGUAAAGAUCCGGUGCCAGCCCCUCCUCACGGGACCGAACCGGUUCCAGCCCCUCUCUCCGGUAAAGAUCCGGUUCCAGGCGCUCCCCCCGGUAAAGAUCCGGUUCCAGGCGCUCCCCCCGGUAAAGAUCCGGUUCCAGGCGCUCCCCCCGGUAAAGAUCCGGUUCCAGGCGCUCCCGGGAAGGAGCCGAGCCUUCCCCGGGAGGAAGAACCGGUCGAACCGGUUCCCUCCCCCCCCCGGACCCUGCACCGGGAAGGAGCCGCUCCCUCCCCCACCGGGACAGAACCGGAGCCGCCGGGGGAAGAACCGGGCCCGGAAGGGAAAUGGGGGGUGGGGGGGGGGCAAAGCCCGGGAGCCCCGGUUUGGGACUGGGAGGGAUAAACCCGGCCCAGUUUGGGACUGGGGACACAAACCCGGCCCAGUUUGGGACUGGGGACACAAACCCGGCCCAGUUUGGGGUUUAGGGACCUGAACCCAGCCCAGUUGGGGAUUUAGGGACACAAACCCGGCCCAGUUUGGGGUUUGUAUCCCCAAACCCAGCCCAGUUUAGGACUGGGGACACAAACCCAGCCCAGUUUGGGGUUGUGUCCCCAAACCCAGCCCAGUUUGGGGACUGGGGACACAAACCCAGCCCAGUUUGGGGUUUGUAUCCCCAAACCCAGCCCAGUUUGGGGUUUAGGGACCUGAACCCAGCCCAGUUUGGGGUUUAGGGACAAAAGCCCAGCCCAGUUUGGGGUUUAGGGACACAAACCCAGCCCAGUUUGGGGACUGGGGACACAACCCCAGCCCAGUUUGGGGUUGUGUCCCCAAACCCGGCCCAGUUUGGGGUUUAGGGACCCGAACCCAGCCCAGUUUGGGGUUUAGGGACCCAAACCGAGCCCAGUUUGGGGUUGUGUCCCCAAACCCGGCCCGGUUUGGGGUUGUGUCCCCAAACCCCGCCCGGGUCGGGCCGGGCCGGCCCCCAGCGCUCUGACGCC